CGUAGGCGGCUGUAUAAGUCAGAUGUGAAAGCCCGCGGCUCAACCGUGGAAGUGCAUUUGAAACUGUAUGGCUUGAGUACUGGAGGGGGUAGUGGAAUUCCCGGUGUAGAGGUGAAAUUCGUAGAUAUCGGGAGGAAUACCGGUGGCGAAGGCGACUGCCUGGCCAGAUACUGACGCUGAGGUGCGAAAGCGUGGGGAGCAAACA
rnacentral:rRNA from 1 species